ensembl:lncRNA
GGGGUAAGGGGACAGGGGGAGAGAGUUGGACAGAUGGGUAAGGGGGACAGGGGGAGAGAGUUGGACAGAUGGGUAAGGGGACAGGGGGAGAGAGUUGGACAGAUGGGUAAGGGGACAGGGGGAGAGAGUUGGACAGAUGGGUAAGGGGGACAGGGGGAGAGAGUUGGACAGAUGGGUAAGGGGGACAGAUGGGGGACAGGGGAGAGAGUUGGACAGAUGGGUAAGGGGGACAGGGGGAGAGAGUUGGACAGAUGGGUAAGGGGGACAGGGGAGAGAAGUUGGACAGAUGGGUAAGGGGGACAGGGGGAGAGAGUUAGACAGAUGGGUAAGGGGGACAGAUGGGUAAGGGGGACAGG